rnacentral:rRNA from 1 species
AGACGGAGGGUGCAAGCGUUAAUCGGAAUUACUGGGCGUAAAGCGCUCGUAGGCGGCUUGUUAAGUCGGAUGUGAAAGCCCCGGGCUCAACCUGGGAACUGCAUUCGAUACUGGCAGGCUAGAGUAUAUUAGAGGCAAGUGGAAUUCCGGGUGUAGCGGUGAAAUGCGUAGAUAUCCGGAGGAACAUCAGUGGCGAAGGCGACUUGCUGGACUAAUACUGACGCUGAGGAGCGAAAGCGUGGGGAGCAAACGGUAUUAGAAACCCCGGUAGUCC